rnacentral:rRNA from 1 species
UUGAACGCUGGCGGCAGGCCUAACACAUGCAAGUCGAGCGGUUGAGAGUAGCUUGCUACUUGAUGCAGCGGCGGACGGGUGAGUAACGCGUGGGAAUCUGCCCAGUAGUGGGGGACAACAGCCGGAAACGGCUGCUAAUACCGCAUACGCCCUACGGGGGAAAGGGGGGGAUCUUCGGACCUCUCGCUAUUGGAUGAGCCCGCGUCGGAUUAGCUGGUUGGUAGGGUAAAGGCCUACCAAGGCUACGAUCCGUAACUGGUCUGAGAGGAUGAUCAGUCACACUGGAACUGAGACACGGUCCAGACUCCUACGGGAGGCAGCAGUGGGGAAUAUUGGACAAUGGGGGAAACCCUGAUCCAGCCAUGCCGCGUGUGUGAAGAAGGCCUUAGGGUUGUAAAGCACUUUCAGUGGGGAGAAAGGUUUGUCACCUAAUACGUGAUGAAAUUGAUGUUACCCACAGAAGAAGCACCGGCUAACUCCGUGCCAGCCGCCGCAGUAAAAC